rnacentral:tRNA from 1 species
GGAGGCUACAGCUCAGUGGUAGAGCGUGUGCUUAGCAUGCACGAGGUCCUGGGUUCAAUCCCCAGUCCCUCCA